rnacentral:rRNA from 1 species
GAGUUUGAUCAUGGCUCAGAUUGAACGCUGGCGGCAGGCUUAACACAUGCAAGUCGAGCGGGCGAGGUUGCUUCGGUAACUGAGCUAGCGGCGGACGGGUGAGUAAUGCUUAGGAAUCUGCCUAUUAGUGGGGGACAACAUUCCGAAAGGGAUGCUAAUACCGCAUACGUCCUACGGGAGAAAGCAGGGGCUCUUUAUGACCUUGCGCUAAUAGAUGAGCCUAAGUCGGAUUAGCUAGUUGGUGGGGUAAAGGCCUACCAAGGCGACGAUCUGUAGCGGGUCUGAGAGGAUGAUCCGCCACACUGGGACUGAGACACGGCCCAGACUCCUACGGGAGGCAGCAGUGGGGAAUAUUGGACAAUGGGGGGAACCCUGAUCCAGCCAUGCCGCGUGUGUGAAGAAGGCCUUUUGGUUGUAAAGCACUUUAAGUGGGGAGGAGGCUUACCUGGUUAAUACCUGGGCUAAGUGGACGUUACCCACAGAAUAAGCACCGGCUAACUCUGUGCCAGCAGCCGCGGUAAU